UACGGAGGGUGCAAGCGUUAUCCGGAUUCACUGGGUUUAAAGGGUGCGUAGGUGGGUCUGUAAGUCAGUGGUGAAAUCUCCGAGCUUAACACGGAAACUGCCAUUGAUACUAUGUUUCUUGAAUUAUCUGGAGGUCAGCGGAAUAUGUCAUGUAGCGGUGAAAUGCUUAGAUAUGACAUAGAACACCAAUUGCGAAGGCAGCUGGCUACAGGUGGAUUGACACUGAGGCACGAAAGCGUGGGGAUCAAACAGG
rnacentral:rRNA from 1 species